rnacentral:misc_RNA from 1 species
UUACUGUUUGUCUAUAGAGUAAUAAUUAAUUACCGUUUGUCAACCGAAUAAUUACUAUUGUCUAUCGAAGAGUUAGUUAUCAUUUUGUCAACCGAAGAAUUUUAUAUCCGUCAGCCUGUCAGUCAAUUGUUAGCCGAGAGUGGAACUUAUUGCCAUUAAACGUCAGUUAACGCUACCGAACGCGGCAACUAAAUAGAAGACAGAUAAAACUUUAAUCAAUAAAUAACAUACAAUAACUAUUGGGUUAUAACAUAA